AUGGCUUGAACCUGCUGAUAUCUAGUGUCUCCUUAAGUGGUUUGUUGAGGUUUUAGAUAAUUAGAAGUAUUUCUUUAAAAUGUAAAUAUUCCAGUAAACAUUAAGCUUCAUUUAAACUCUCCAUUUAUAAAAUAAAAGUAUAUGUUAUUUUGUAUCCAUUUUUAUAAAGAUUAUAGUCUUUAUCUAAGUGUUCUAAGUCAUUCAUUUUAACUAAACAUAUGGAUUUGUCUGCAGAACACGACUUAAAAGUGGCUUCAGAGGAAAAGCAAGAAACGCUUGAAAGAAGUGAAAAUAAACAGCCAGAGAUUUUCAAAGUUAUAGAAAAAAGAAGGAUGUGAUAUAUACAAAUUGCAUAUUGAAGGGAGAUAUUGCCACACUCAAACAGGAAUAAUACACAAUAAAAAAUGACAGUGUCAA
ensembl:lncRNA ANKRD18DP ankyrin repeat domain 18D, pseudogene